rnacentral:rRNA from 1 species
AUACGUAGGUGACAAGCGUUAUCCGGAUUUACUGGGCGUAAAGGGCGUGUAGGCGGUCUUGCAAGUCAGAAGUGAAAUUCCUGAGCUCAACUCGGGCGCUGCUUCUGAAACUGCAGGACUUGAGUGCUGGAGGGGAUAGCGGAAUUCCUAGUGGAGCGGUAAAAUGCGCAGAUAUUAGGAAGAACACCGGUGGCGAAGGCGGCUAUCUGGACAGUAACUGACGCUGAGGCGCGAAAGCGUGGGGAGCAAACAGGAUUAGAUACCCUGGUAGUCCACGCAGUAAACGAUGUUCACUCGCUGUUUGCGAUAUACUGUAAGCGGCUUAGUUAAAGCAUUAAGUGAACCACCUGGGGAGUACGAUCGCAAGGUUGAAACUCAAAUGAAUUGGCGGGG